rnacentral:rRNA from 1 species
CAGCCGCCACGGGAAUACGAAGGGGGCUAGCGUUGUUCGGAAUUACUGGGCGUAAAGGGCGCGUAGGCGGCCAUUCAAGUUAGAUGUGAAAGCCCUGGGCUCAACCUAGGAAUUGCAUUUGAUACUGUUUGGCUUGAGUUCGGGAGAGGUGAGCGGAAUUCCCAGUGUAGAGGUGAAAUUCGUAGAUAUUGGGAAGAACACCAGUGGCGAAGGCGGCUCACUGGACCGACACUGACGCUGAGGCGCGAAAGCGUGGGGAGCAAACAGGAUUAGAUACCCCGGUAGUCCCUGUCUCUUAUAC